CGAGGCACUUAAUGGCAAUUCCAAGAAGGGGCUGAAAGCUUACACCUGGGAUGCCUGUCACCAAGUCCCUUUGGGCAGUGACUUGAGCCACCUGGUGGGAGAGAUCCGAGCUUUGAGAGGGCAGCUGGAGCAGAGCAUUCAGGUGAACAACUGUCUGCGACUGCAGCUUGAACAGCAGUUGGAUGGUGGUGCCAGCAAAGCCAGCCUCAGCCCCUCCUCUGUUAACCAGAAAUUCCCCAACAACACUGACCCUGGAAACAAGCAGCUGCUCUUCCAAGAUUCAGUUGCCUC